AUUGAACGCUGGCGGCAUGCCUUACACAUGCAAGUCGAACGGUAACAGGCCGCAAGGUGCUGACGAGUGGCGAACGGGUGAGUAAUGCAUCGGAACGUGCCCAGUCGUGGGGGAUAACGCAGCGAAAGCUGUGCUAAUACCGCAUACGAUCUAUGGAUGAAAGCGGGGGACCGUAAGGCCUCGCGCGAUUGGAGCGGCCGAUGUCAGAUUAGGUGGUUGGUGGGGUAAAGGCCUACCAAGCCGACGAUCUGUAGCUGGUCUGAGAGGACGACCAGCCACACUGGGACUGAGACACGGCCCAGACUCCUACGGGAGGCAGCAGUAGGGAAUUUUGGACAAUGGGCGCAAGCCUGAUCCAGCAAUGCCGCGUGCAGGAAGAAGGCCUUCGGGUUGUAAACUGCUUUUGUACGGAACGAAACGGUCUGGGUUAAUACCCUGGGCUAAUGACGGUACCGUAAGAAUAAGCACCGGCUAACUACGUGCCAGCAGCCGCCGUAAUAC
rnacentral:rRNA from 1 species